rnacentral:rRNA from 1 species
UACGUAGGGUGCAAGCGUUAAUCGGAAUUACUGGGCGUAAAGCGUGCGCAGGCGGUUAUGUAAGACAGUUGUGAAAUCCCCGGGCUCAACCUGGGAACUGCAUCUGUGACUGCAUAGCUAGAGUACGGUAGAGGGGAUGGAAUUCCGCGUGUAGCAGUGAAAUGCGUAGAUAUGCGGAGGAACACCGAUGGCGAAGGCAAUCCCCUGGACCUGUACUGACGCUCAUGCACGAAAGCGUGGGGAGCAAACAGG